GGUUGGUCCGAUGGCGGUGAGAUUUCAAAUGAUUGCUACAGUGAGUUACAGAACCUCUAAGUUUCUUCUCUCCCCUUCCUCACCGCUGACCUUGACUAGCCUUUU
ensembl:misc_RNA Y_RNA Y RNA